AUGAAACUAUACAGUGUGGUCAAAGAACCUUUGUGCCUGUUGUCUUUGGCUGGUGAUGCCUUAGAAUUUCUUUUAUUGAUGCACCUUUGUUAUUUUGUGUACAUGCAUGAAACUGGUGUAUGGUGUGCUGUUAAGUGGAGACAGUGUGUCCAUGAUAAUUGCUUCAUAUUCGAUCAUUUGCUAGGGGACUCAUUUCUUGUUGCUGUUAUCAAAAUUGUGAGAAUUCUUCUGGGAUUUUUCAUAAGGAUGCCAACAUGCUCUUAUAAUGAAUUGUUUCUUAUGGCUAUUUGCUGGUUCAUUGUCCGGUCAUUGUUUUCUCACAAUAGCUUGAAAUGA
rnacentral:lncRNA from 1 species